GGGAGACCUCAGGAAUCUUACAAUCAUGAUGGAAGGUGAAGGAGAAGCAAAGACCCUCUUCACAUGAUGGCAGGAGAGAGAAUGAGUGCCCAAUGAAGAAAGAAGCCCUUUAUAAAACAAUCAAAUCUCGUGAGAACUCACUCACUAUCACGAGAACAGGACAGAGGAAACUGCUCCAUGAGUCAAUUAUCUCCACCCCGUCCCUCCCAAGACACCUGGGGAUUAUGGGAACUACAAUUCAAGAUGAGAGUUGGGUGGGGACACAGCCAAACCAUAUCACCGGGGAAUCCCAAGUGACCAGUGGUAGGAAGGGAUGGGGCAGGGAACGCCCAUUUGCCAGCCCUCUCCUGGGAUCUGGGCACUUGCACAGCCAUCCUGCGAGGGAGGCUUUAUCAUCCUGAUGUUACGGAUGAGGAGCUGAGGCCCUCAUGGGACUUGCCUGAACUCAGUGACGGUGGGAUCUCCAGCCAUGCAGCCUCCAUCCUGCAGAGGACCGAAAGAGCAGAACAGCCAGGAAUGUCAGAUCUGGGAGCUCCUUGCAGUUCAUGUUCCGACAUCGUUUUCCUGAGGAAAGGGGAAGCGAGUCUGGAGAACAAGAGGGGCUUGUCAAGCCUUUGUAGGAGCCAUGACUUCCAGAAACCCACUGAGUGCUUUUCCAUAGCUUCCUCCCAUGGUAAUCUCAUCAUGCCAUAGACCUUAAAUUCAGGUUGUGGGGCACAUUGGCAGGAACCUCACCACACUGGAGAAGGUUGAGCCCAGAUGGCAGGCUGGACUUCCUCAUGGGCACAUUCAAGAUGCCUGCUACCUCCUGGAGACUCCCAGAAAUGCCUAGGGGUGAGGAGCUUGUGGUUUGCAACGGAUCACAAACCUCGGGAAGGAGCCAGGGGCUUCAAGCCCAGGCAACUCGUGUGUCAAUGUCAUUGAGCCUCAUUGUUCCCAACCACAGGAGAUCAGACUGAGGGCCACUCCCAGCACAGACUUGCUGGUAAUGUGACUGCCCCAGAUCCCUCUUCAGAACCAAGUGGCUAAGAGCCUAGACUCUGGAGUCAUCUGCCAGCUCAACCACUUGCUAGCCGUGUGACCUUGGAAAGCCUACUUAACUUCUCUGCCUUGGUUUCCUGAUAUACAUUGCAGGGAGGAGGAGAAUAAUAUCCAUAGCUCACAGGAAGUUUGCAAAGAUUAAAUUAUAUGACAUAGUACCCCCAAACAUUCUGUGUAUAUAUAUGUGUAUGUGUAUUA
rnacentral:lncRNA from 1 species